GGCUGAGUGGCCCAUCUUGUUAUGUACUAUCCACAGAAUUCUGUGGUACUAUCUUUAUUUCAACAAUUUUAAAAUUGGACCGCAUCGCCGUAUACCGGAAGCAUUCGUAGCAUGGCAAAGUUACCUCUCUUGCUUUCGCUUGUUGGCCUAGGCCUACCCACCCGUGAAUUCUGAAUAGUGCAGUGCACUCAGCUCAGCAUCUUACGUAGAAUCUAGAUCUAGGCCAAGCAGAAGGCUUGUUGUGUGUCAGAAAGACAGUAACAUUAACAAUACCAUUUGAUUGAAUGGGAUGGAAGUAAAAGAACAGUAAAGGAACUUGGAAAUAAUACAGAAGAAAAACUUGCUGGCCCUCCCCCAACUGCCCUUGUCUCUAGUUGUGAGUGGUCAGUUGAUGCCCUAGACUUUUCGACCACAGGUCUGGAAUUCUCGGGGAUCGAAUGUACCCCCGAGGACUUCCUGGAUCCUGCAGCAGAGUUUCAGCUACCUUUGGUUUCGACCCCAGCUCGGGAUCCUGUGGAUAACCAGGACUAUGUCUAUUGUCUACCUGAACAGGCAUUGAGACCAUUGGAAGAUGAAACUGUGGUGACAUCCCAAGCCCCCCAAAAACUGCCUCAGGACAACAGUUUUGCUUUGUCCUUGACAGUCUAAUUGAUCACGCCAUUGCCACUGGAUGGAUGGCAUCAGACCAAAUCGAACCUAAGGAGAACGAGGGGGCAUACAGAAAAUACCUUGAUUUGUACAAUCAACUCAUUCCUGCCCCCUCGUUCGUCAACCUGCCCAUACCAGCAAGCUGGAACUAUCUAAGGUUUCAACACAGAGAAGCCGGCUAAGGUCCCUACAUACAUGUCUUACGGGCAAAGUACAAAGCAUGGGAGGAGGCGAAGAAAUUGGAAGAAGAAAAGAAAAAGGAAGAAGUGGAAAAGAAGAAGAGAGAAAGGGAGAGAAAAGGGUG
rnacentral:misc_RNA from 1 species